rnacentral:rRNA from 1 species
CCUACGGGAGGCAGCAGUGAGGAAUUUUGCGCAAUGGGCGAAAGCCUGACGCAGCGACGCCGCGUGGAGGACGAAGGUCUUCGGAUCGUAAACUCCUGUCAGGAGGGACGAAUGCAAAGUGGAUGAAUAAGCCUCUUUGUUGACGGUACCUCCAGAGGAAGCCCCGGCUAACUCCGUGCCAGCAGCCGCGGUAAU